UUCUUCGAGCUGUGGUGAACGUGGGUCUGAUCUUGUCCUGUUCUUUGGGUUUUCUGGUUUAACUGCAUGUGUCUUUUAUUCUUCCUGAUGGUUGUUGGUGACUCUGUAGGACGUGCCACUGCUCUGCUCAACCAGCUCCUGCGCUGUGGGACCGUGCUCCUGGUAAGAAGUCAAUGUCAAGAAGAUAGAUUGAAUCUUGAAUUUGAGUAACAAAUUCCUGGAUUUGUAAGCAUCCCAGUGUUUAAGACAUCUGCCACUCACUUCCUCCUUUCCAGAGCGUCAUUGCAAAAGGAGUAAUGAGGGGAUUGUUUCAGGCUUUCCUUUCAUGACAUUUAGGAGGAAAGGAAACUGCUGUUGAAUAUGAGAUGCCUGGGAUUUCUGUUUUAUAUUAUACUUCUUAAAUGUUUGAACUCUGCUUCAGGAUGGAACAAGUUAGAAUUGAAACUGCAGGGUGGCUUAAAUGCCUUCUUAAAACAGCAUCUUCUCUCCUCCUCGAUAAGAAGCAAGCCUAAUGGUAGAUCUGUAUGUUGCAUUUUAUUCAGUGGAAUGCUGGUGCUGCAGGCAGGUACCUUCCCUCAGUCCCAGCUCAGCUCCAACUAGAAACUAGUGCCCAGUUCAUAUACUUGCAACAAAGUGAUGUAUAAUCUCCUUGUAAUUGUAUUGGUCAUAUUUGCUGUACACUGGAAACAAACUUGAGAGAUUCACAGGUUCACUAGAAGGGCAACUGAGAUGAAACUCAUUUCCUAAUAUAUUUUAUCUGUGCCAGCAAUGUGAUGGUUCUUCUGAACAGUGAGCAAUAAAGCUAGUUAAAAGAUCAUUAAAUAACUCCCAUGAAGUUAUAAUAAUGCAUUAAAACAUGUAACCACUACAGAGCACCUUGCAUCACAAAGCCCUUUAAUUCAUCUGCUCUUGGGCAACAAGCAGACCAGUGACCAUAAAUCUACUGGCUGUGCUCCAGCACUGUACUUCCUCCUUUGCUCGGAGUUUCUGGGCUACCGUGAAGAGAGCCAAAAUCUUGCAAUACGCUAUUGUGUAUUGCAGCUGUUCAAAGCUAGAAAAAUUACUUUGAACAAGGCAGAAAGAAGUUCUGAUUUUAAACUUCCAUUUUAAAGUGGUAAUGAACUGCGUUUUUGUACAUAGCUUUGAAAAUCCCCGCUGUGGAAUCAUGCGCUAUCAAGGGUCAUUUUAAUAACAUUGAUUGUUAAAAGACACAGUUCCCAGUGUAAAACAAGAACUCAUUAGAAUUCAGGAUAAAGCUGAUUACAGAGGAAUGCGUAAAAUUGAAUAUUAAGAAGAUUAAGAAGAGCUGGAUAUCAGUGCUAUAUUCCAAAGGGAAAUCCAUAAUGUGCUUGCUGUCCCAAUCAGCGGUACCCAAAGGCAAUGAGUACCUCUGUGAGUGUACCCUACUGGAGAGGGAACUCUGAGAGUUUGGCCAAGGGUAACUAUAAAUAUUAAAACCUUUAUUAUCAAUGUUUGAUAGAAACAUAAAAAAUUUAUAGUUGUAUACAAAUUCUUUCCUUUACAGAGGAGACACAUGAGAUUUUAUAAUACCCCUGUUAAGUCACUCUUUCAUUUUUUUGUCUGAAAGAAAAAAAAUCUAAUUAUUUCUGCCCAAAUUCCUUUCUUUCUUCAGUAGAGGUAGUAUCAUCCGAAAGAAGCAAAAUAGAAUGAAUAGCUGAAGCCCUAUAUAGAGCUAAUAGUCCUGUAUCAAGGUUUUUCAGAUAGGCUGCUGUGCUAUGUUUUGUUUCUUUUUCUUCUUUUUUUUAUUUCCCUUCCCCUAGCCCCUGUGCCUCCUUUUGUUAUUCAGUAUAUGUUUGUCACAGACUGUCUCUUGUUUAGAAACAAAUGCAUUCAGACAUCUUUGGUACUUACAAAAGCAUAGUCUCAUAUUACAGCAAUCAUUAACAUAACAGUAACACACAAGAGUUGUUCCAGCAUAUUGAAAAACCUGUGAAGCUUUCAGUGCACUCAGUAACUGUAUGAGAUAGCAGUGAAAGGCAGAUAUCUACCUAAAUGUGAAUUUCCACCUCACUGUAACAUCUAAAUGGAAUUACAUCCUGCAUUGUUGAGAAGAUUCAUUAAAGGGACAUAGAAUC
rnacentral:lncRNA from 7 species